UUUAAAAGGUUGUGGUGAAUGGUUUGGGGGGAGAGGGAGGGGUUUAUUUUUCUUUUUGUUUACUUUGUUUUAAGUUUAAAAUGUUCUAAAUGAAUAACAUAAUGUUUUAAGUAAAUAGGAUAAAUAGGUUUGGAAUUAUUGUUACAACUGAAAUUCUUUCUUUUACAGUUAUGACAGAGAGG